AAAUAUCUGGAGGGUCAUCGUGGAUUUUUACUGAGCCAUGGCACUUACUGGGAGACCUUGUGCCAGCUGCUGUCUGCGUUCUCAGUCAGGUGUACCUCACAAGGUUGUUGCUGAAGCAGGAAAGCCAUGCUUACCACCUUAGGUUUUUUGGGAGAAAGCAAUAGAUAAUCAGUAGAUAAUCAAUGCCCAGAUGUGGGGUCAGACCUUUGGCUUAGGUCAAUGGUCCCCAACCUUGGGUCUCCAGAUGUUCUCAGACUACAACUCCCAGAACUCCUGGCCAGCACAGAUCGUGGUGAAGGCUUCUGGGAUCUUUAGUCCAAGAACAUCUGAGGAGGCAAGGUUGGGAACCACUGGUUUAGGUGAUUAAACCCUAAAAGAAAGUUCCGGAACACCCAGGUUGAAUGUGAGUCUCUCUACCUCAAGGAUAGAAACACAGCAGUAUUUUUUUGAGGACAAAUAUUUUCACUUCAAGAGUGGUAGCAACCAGAAAGGGUGGGGGCAGGAUGUGCCCAUUGCCACUGGUACGGCCCUGCGUGCGAGCUGCGCCCAGAUCAUUGCCCCUCUGAGGUAACUCAGCUCCAGGGCGCCCGCCACGGUCUCUCCCUCACGUGACAGCACCAUAGGGAGCCACUCUUUCAGUUUUAACCUUUCCGCUAAUGAGGCAACCAAUGAUCGGGAUGUUAUUUGUGGCCAUGAGCUUGGACAAGUUGGAGUUGAAAGGUCAAUGUGGUCCCAGAAGAAGCGCCAUCACAGGGAUGUGAAGGGACUCUCCGUCGCCAAGGAAACAGAGAGCCAUCUCUCCGCUGGAGAUGCCCAGGCAGGCCUAUGCCGCAGCACUGAGUUUUGUGGAUCUCCAGUGAGGAGGGACCAUGAAGGACCAAAAAAGAGGCAAGAAGAACAGUAUGCAGACGAAAGCAUAUGCUGCAAGAGGAGGGCUUUUGUAGCCAUUUUCUCACCUGUAGUAUUCCAGCUACAUCUCCUUUGGGGGUCCUGCUUGCUCUUGAGGAGACAUGGAAAAUGUUUGUCCCUUGAGGGGCUCUUUGGAGGCUGCUCAGCCCUGCUUCCUCUUGAGUAGACACGCUGCAGUCUUCUCUGCUUCCGAGUUGUCUUAAAAUUGGGUCAAUAGCCAACAGCAGAGGGUGGGCUGAGGUGUGGAGUAGAAUUUGGCAGACUUAAAAAAAGAAGAAUGGACUUCAAGAAAGAAGCCACACACACACCUUUAAAAAAACAACAACAACCCCUUUGUCUUUCUUUGGGGAACAUUCCCUCAUUCUCUUCCCGCCUUUUUCAUGGAGAGCUUGCACACAUGCUUUAGGAAUGGGUGGGUAGAAGACUGUGACAGCUACUGCCUAAAUGUCUACAACCCUUCAAUCUCUCUGUCAGUGCUUAGCUGGAAAGCGUACAUAUU
rnacentral:lncRNA from 1 species